CCUACGGGGGGCAGCAGUGGGGAAUAUUGGACAAUGGGGGCAACCCUGAUCCAGCCAUGCCGCGUGUGUGAAGAAGGCCCUCGGGUUGUAAAGCACUUUCAGUGAGGAAGAACGCCUGGUGGUUAAUACCCAUCAGGAAAGACAUCACUCACAGAAGAAGCACCGGCUAACUCCGUGCCAGCAGCCGCGGUAAUACGGAGGGUGCGAGCGUUAAUCGGAAUUACUGGGCGUAAAGCGCGCGUAGGUGGCUUGAUAAGCCGGUUGUGAAAGCCCCGGGCUCAACCUGGGAACGGCAUCCGGAACUGUCAAGCUAGAGUGCAGGAGAGGAAGGUAGAAUUCCCGGUGUAGCGGUGAAAUGCGUAGAGAUCGGGAGGAAUACCAGUGGCGAAGGCGGCCUUCUGGACUGACACUGACACUGAGGUGCGAAAGCGUGGGUAGCAAACAGGAUCAGAUACCCCAGUAGUC
rnacentral:rRNA from 1 species